rnacentral:misc_RNA from 1 species
GAUGAAGAACGCAGCGAAAUGCGAUAAGUAAUGUGAAUUGCAGAAUUCAGUGAAUCAUCGAAUCUUUGAACGCACAUUGCGCCCCCUGGUAUUCCGGGGGGCAUGCCUGUUCGAGCGUCAUUUCACCACUCAAGCUCAGCUUGGUGUUGGGCCCCGCCGCCCCGGCGGGCCCUAAAGUCAGUGGCGGUGCCGUCCGGCUCCGAGCGUAGUAAUUCUUCUCGCUCUGGAGGUCCGGUCGUGUGCUCGCCAGCAACCCCCAAUUUUUUUCAGGUUGACCUCGGAUCAGGUAGGGAUACCCGCUGAACUUAAGCAUAUCAAUAAGCGGAGGA